CAUUAGGUUGAUCUGCCUAAAGUAGAUGCUAGUUUCUGAGAUUAAGCCAUGCAUGUCAGUGAGCCCUACGGCGGAACGCGAAACGGCUCAGUAAUGUUGCGGUAUUUGGUUCUCUGUGUGUAAACUAACCACGGUACCUUGUGGCUAAAAGCGGAGAAUAAGGCGCAACCCUAUCAGCUUGUUGGUAGUGUAAAGGACUACCAAGGCCAUGACGGGUAACGGGAAAUCAGGGUUUGAUUCCGGAGAGGGAGCCUGAGAGAUGGCUCCCACGUCCAAGGACGGCAGCAGGCGCGAAACUUGUCCACUCCUUACGGGGGAGACAGUCAUGAGACGUGAGUAUAAGACCUGAGUGUAAAGACCUUAGGGUGAAGCAAUUGGAGGGCAAGCUUUGGUGCCAGCAGCCGCGGUAACUCCAACUCCAAGAGUGUCUAUGGUGGAUGCUGCAGUUAAAGGGUCCGUAGUCGUGAAUGCAAUUAAAUGUCGUUGUUCAAUAGCGAUGAGUUUGCUAAUGUUUGCGGAACGGAUAGGGAGUGUAGUAUAGACUGGCGAAGAAUGAAAUCUCAAGACCCAGUUUGGACUAACGGAGGCGAAGGCGACACUCUUAGACGUAUCUUAGGAUCAAGGACGAAGGCAGGAGUAUCGAAAGUGAUUAGACACCGCUGUAGUUCCUGCAGUAAACUAUGCCGACAGCCUGUGUGUGAGAAUACGUGGGCGGGAGAAAUCUUAGUGUUCGGGCUCUGGGGAUAGUACGCUCGCAAGGGUGAAACUUAAAGCGAAAUUGACGGAAGGACACUACCAGGAGUGGAUUGUGCUGCUUAAUUUAACUCAACGCGGGAAAACUUACCAGGGUCAAGUCAUUCGUUGAUCGAAUACGUGAGAAUGGCAGGAGUGGUGCAUGGCCGUUGGAAAUUGAUGGGGCGACCUUUAGCUUAAAUGCUUAAACCAGUGAGACCUCCUUGACAGGUGUUCUGUAACACAGGAGGGUGGAGGCUAUAACAGGUCCGUGAUGCCCUAGAAUCCGGCGCAGCGUCCC
rfam:Enterocytozoon bieneusi H348 ctg01_2148, whole genome shotgun sequence.